rnacentral:rRNA from 1 species
UGGGGAAUUUUGGACAAUGGGCGCAAGCCUGAUCCAGCCAUGCCGCGUGCGGGAAGAAGGCCUUCGGGUUGUAAACCGCUUUUGUCAGGGAAGAAAUCUUCUGAGUUAAUACCUCGGGAGGAUGACGGUACCUGAAGAAUAAGCACCGGCUAACUACGUGCCGGCAGCCGCGGUAAUACGUAGGGUGCAAGCGUUAAUCGGAAUUACUGGGCGUAAAGCGUGCGCAGGCGGUUUUGUAAGACAGAGGUGAAAUCCCCGGGCUCAACCUGGGAACUGCCUUUGUGACUGCAAGGCUUGAGUGCGGCAGAGGGGGAUGGAAUUCCGCGUGUAGCAGUGAAAUGCGUAGAUAUGCGGAGGAACACCGAUGGCGAAGGCAAUCCCCUGGGCCUGCACUGACGCUCAUGCACGAAAGCGUGGGGAGCAAACAGGAUUAGAUACCCUGGUAGUCCACGCCCUAAAACGAUGUCAACUGGUUGUUGGGAAGGUUCCUUCUCAGUAACGUAGCUAACGCNUGAAGUUGACCGCCUGGGGAGUACGGCCGCAAGGUUGAAACUUAAAUGAAUUGACGGGGU